rnacentral:rRNA from 1 species
UAGGGAAUAUUGGUCAAUGGACGAGAGUCUGAACCAGCCAUGCCGCGUGCAGGAAGACGGCCUUCUGGGUUGUAAACUGCUUUUCUACGGGGAUAAAAUAGUCUUGCGAGACGGAUUGCAUGUACCGUAGGAAUAAGCACCGGCUAACUCCGUGCCAGCAGCCGCGGUAAUACGGAGGGUGCAAGCGUUGUCCGGAUUUAUUGGGUUUAAAGGGUGCGUAGGCGGUUGAUUAAGUCAGUGGUGAAAGGCUUCAGCUCAACUGGAGAAUUGCCAUUGAUACUGAUUAACUUGAGUGUAGUUGAGGUGGGCGGAAUUUAUGGUGUAGCGGUGAAAUGCAUAGAUACCAUAAAGAACACCGAUAGCGAAGGCAGCUCACUAGACUAUAACUGACGCUGAUGCACGAAAGCGUGGGGAGCGAACA